UCCUUCUGCCCACCCUGUGGAUCUCUGUUCAUUGUCUCACCCUGGGAUUGGAAAGGAUUCUUCGUCCGAGCUGCCUCUCCGUUGGGAAAUCGUUUGCUGGACACACAUUUCCAAGCCAGGGUGAUUUUGCUGUUGUGUCGUUUCCCGAACGCUGGCGUUCCUGGCACACUGUGAGGAAAACGGCUGGAGCAGGGAAUGGUUCACAGCCAAGACAGAUUCCAACCUUCCAAACACUGAGGCUCCAGAGAACUCCCACCACACUGGAGGUCUCCCUGCUAAUCCUGACACUUGGAGAAAAGAAGCGGCCCACUUUCUACAUAUAGAGAACACAAGAGAAACCCAGUCGCGUUGAUCUUCAGGGGGCGAUCGCUCCCCAGAU